rnacentral:rRNA from 1 species
UGGGAUAACUUCGGGAAACCGGAGCUAAUACCGGAUAACAUUUAGAACCGCAUGGUUCUAAAGUGAAAGAUGGUUUUGCUAUCACUUAUAGAUGGACCCGCGCCGUAUUAGCUAGUUGGUAAGGUAACGGCUUACCAAGGCGACGAUACGUAGCCGACCUGAGAGGGUGAUCGGCCACACUGGAACUGAGACACGGUCCAGACUCCUACGGGAGGCAGCAGUAGGGAAUCUUCCGCAAUGGGCGAAAGCCUGACGGAGCAACGCCGCGUGAGUGAUGAAGGGUUUCGGCUCGUAAAACUCUGUUAUUAGGGAAGAACAAAUGUGUAAGUAGCUGUGCACAUCUUGACAGUACCUAAUCAGAAAGCCACGGCUAACUACGUGCCAGCAGCCGCGGUAAUACGUAGGUGGCAAGCGUUAUCCGGAAUUAUUGGGCGUAAAGCGCGCGUAGGCGGUUUCUUAAGUCUGAUGUGAAAGCCCACGGCUCAACCGUGGAGGGUCAUUGGAAACUGGGAAACUUGAGUACAGAAGAGGAAAGUGGAAUUCCAUGUGUAGCGGUGAAAUGCGCAGAGAUAUGGAGGAACACCAGUGGCGAAGGCGACUUUCUGGUCUGUAACUGACGCUGAUGUGCGAAAGCGUGGGGAUCAAACAGGAUUAGAUACCCUGGUAGUCCACGCCGUAAACGAUGAGUGCUAAGUGUUAGGGGGUUUCCGCCCCUUAGUGCUGCAGCUAACGCAUUAAGCACUCCGCCUGGGGAGUACGACCGCAAGGUUGAACUCAGAG